GACUCGGGAAACCGUGACGCCUCCAUCGAUCAUGACCGGUGGGAAAAACGAAGUGAAAACCACCAAGACUGGGGUGACCUGCAUACUGGUAAGGGACUUUGAAACA